rnacentral:lncRNA from 1 species
CUCACACGAGGGAUUUCAGGUGUAAACGGCGCUUGCGGUACGCGCCGCAUUCAUGUCUUGUUAUUACACAUUGGGAAAGGAAGAUCCAAAUACAUGACUGUUACCACGACGACGUGUUUGGUGCCACCCACGCCUAUCAACGAUAUUGCUUGAGCGAACUCAUACGAUACACAAGGGUAGGGAUUAUUUGGUAUGUGUGAGGUUAACAUGUGUGACGGGAACGACAUGAAUAUUUUUCUCAUUUUUUAUAUUAUCGAAAUGAUAAUUAUUUGAAGUAAUCUUUAAUUAGUCAUGUUUAAUGAAAGGAGCUUCGAUUAAUUACUUUGUUAUUUUUUAUACGAAAUAAAUUAUAUGAAAAUUAGUGUUGA